AGAUUGAACGCUAGCGGGAUGCUUUACACAUGCAAGUCGAACGGCAGCGCGGACUUCGGUCUGGCGGCGAGUGGCGAACGGGUGAGUAAUAUAUCGGAACGUGCCCAGUAGCGGGGGGUAACUACGCGAAAGCGUGGCUAAUACCGCAUACGCCCUACGGGGGAAAGGGGGGGAUCGCAAGACCUCUCACUAUUGGAGCGGCCGAUAUCAGAUUAGCUAGUUGGUGAGGUAAAGGCUCACCAAGGCGACGAUCUGUAGCUGGUUUGAGAGGACGACCAGCCACACUGGGACUGAGACACGGCCCAGACUCCUACGGGAGCAGCAGUGGGGAAUUUGGACAAGUGGGGGAAACCCUGGAUCCAGCCAUCCCGCGUGUGCGAUGAAGGUCCGUUCGGGUUGUAAGCGUACGUUUGGCGAGGGAAGAACGGCGUUAGACGUAAUAUUACAGUCGUCUACUA
rnacentral:rRNA from 1 species